GAACAAAGUAAUAUGAAUUUUACAAUGGAUUUAGAUCCAAAAGUUCCAACUAAUUCUAUUGACACUGGAUAGUGCAUAUGAUAGCCUUCAGUUGACAUGACUCUUGGAUUUAGGAAGAUUGGUGUUUACACAUAAUUUGGAUAACAUCUUUUGUAUUUGAAAUCAGAAAAUUCAACUUUAAGGACAGUGAGUACAGAGAAACAGAACUAAAGGAUACACAGAUAUGUAACACAACAACCUAUAGAGGACAGAGAAAAUUUUGUUUUAUUAUUAAAUCAUACUUUUUUAAA